AGAAUCAACGCUGGCGGCGUGCCUAACACAUGCAAGUCGAACGAGAAAGUGGAGCAAUCCAUGAGUAAAGUGGCGCACGGGUGAGUAACACGUGACUAACCUACCUUUUAGUGGGGGAUAACCUAGGGAAACCUGGGCUAAUACCGCAUAACACUUACGAGUCAAAGCAGCUAAUGCGCUGGAAGAGGGGGUCGCGGCCGAUUAGCUAGUUGGCGGGUAAUGGCCCACAAGGCAGUGAUCGGUA
rnacentral:rRNA from 1 species